GACGAACGCUGGCGGCGUGCUUAACACAUGCAAGUCGAGCGGUAAGGCCCUUUCGGGGGUACACGAGCGGCGAACGGGUGAGUAACACGUGGGUGACCUGCCCUUAGCUCUGGGAUAAGCCUGGGAAACUGGGUCUAAUACCGGAUAUGACUCCAUGACGCAUGUUGUGGGGUGGAAAGCCUUGUGCGGCUAGGGAUGGGCCCGUGGCCUAUCAGCUUGUUGGUGGGGUGAUGGCCACCAAGGCGACGACGGGUAGCCGGCCUGAGAGGGCGACCGGCCACACUGGGACUGAGACACGGCCCAGACUCCUACGGGAGGCAGCAGUGGGGAAUCUUGCGCAAUGGGCGAAAGCCUGACGCAGCGACGCCGCGUGGGGAUGACGGCCUCGG
rnacentral:rRNA from 1 species